UACGGGGGGGGUAAGCGUUGUUCGGAAUUACUGGGCGUAAAGGGCUCGUAGGCGGCCAACUAAGUCAUACGUGAAAUCCCUCAGCUUAACUCGGGAACUGCGUGUGAUACUGGAUGGCUUGGAUUUGGGAGAGGGAUGCGGAAUUCCAGGUGUAGCGGUGAAAUGCGUAGAUAUCUGGAGGAACACCGGUGGCGAAGGCGGCAUCCUGGACCAAUAUUGACGCUGAGGAGCGAAAGCCAGGGGAGCAAACGGG
rnacentral:rRNA from 1 species